rnacentral:rRNA from 1 species
AAACAUUGUUUAUACAAUUAUUAUAAAUAUAACCUGCUCAAUGAAAAAAUUUAAAUAGCUGCAAAUUUUGUACUAAGGUAGCAUAAUCAUUUGUUUUUUAAUUUUAAACUAGAAUGAAAGGUAAAACAAAUCAUUUCUUUAUUUUAUAUUUUAUUUUAACUUAUACUAAAUAUAAAAAUAUAUUUUUUUAAAAAAAAGACGACAAGACCCUAUUGAACUUUACUUUAGUUUAGCUGGGGAAGCUAAAUAAUAAAUAUUUUAUUAUAAAUUUUAUAAAUGACCCAAAACAUUUGAUUAAUUAAUCAAGUUACCAUAGGGAUAACAGCGCAAUAAAUUUUUAAAGUUCUUAUAUAAAAAUUUGCUUACGACCUCGAUGUUGAAUUAGAAAUCUUUAUUAAGCAAAAAUA